UACGUAGGGCGCGAGCGUUGUCCGGAAUUAUUGGGCGUAAAGAGCUCGUAGGCGGUCUGUUGCGUCCGCUGUGAAAACUCGGGGCUUAACCCCGAGCCUGCAGUGGGUACGGGCAGACUAGAGGUAGGUAGGGGAGAAUGGAAUUCCCGGUGUAGCGGUGAAAUGCGCAGAUAUCGGGAGGAACACCAGUGGCGAAGGCGGUUGCCUGGGGCUUUGCUGACGCUGAUGCGCGAAAGCGUGGGGAGCGAUCCGG
rnacentral:rRNA from 1 species